CAACGCUGAAAUGCGAUUCCACAUUUUCCUCACUCCACCACCCUUGCCACCAGUCCCCACCUUCUCACCCAAAGAAAAGAAACCAAACCAAACCCUUGGGCUUUGCUUUGAUCUGAGUCUUCAUCACAGAAUGAUUUCUACUCUUUCUGUUUGUUAGUUCGGUUUUGGGAAACUGAAAGUAGCUCAGGGUCUCGGGCUGCCGUCUUCCUGGCCCCCAGGGCUGGCACUGCCCGGACCCUAGUGUAGGGGAUCGCUGCCCUCCCAGAACACUGCUCUGUAGGCUCUGUCCGCUCCCUCCCUGCCGCCCAUCCCCAUAAGUUACCCCUGCCCUUUUCACCCCUCCAGGCCCUUAGGUGCCGAGACCCCUGGGCCCCUGUCCCUGCUCAGACCCCAGAUCCCUGGCGGGAGUUUCCUGUCCCCAUCACUGCACUUUCCAUGACACAAGAGGAAGUCAGCUGAGCCCAGGCUGGGUUUUCCAGGCAGCCCAGCCCAGCAGAGGCUGAAGGUGGGGGAGGGGGUUGCUGAGCCCCCAGGGCCGGCUGUCAGAACCUCCUCAGCCUCCACCGGAGAGGCACCUGCUGGUGCAGCCCUGGGCCACACCAGCUCCAAGCCUCAAAUGUCGUGUGUCUGCUCCUGGGGUACCUGCUGGCCCUGAAUCAAGCCUCUGCAUCCCUGGGACUCCAGGAACUUUGGGAUCCAGAGAAGCAAGCUCUUUUAUCCCAGGACCCAUGACUGCCCAAGCUGUGAGCUUCCUGAGGGCAGGGACCCUGUUCUCUCUCCCAGAGCCAGGGCUCCAUGUUGGAACUGGCCCUGACAGCGUCUGUUAAACCUCCACGAAACGACGUUCCUGAACUUGAAGCCAUAGGACAGGACUCUGAAGAUCACCAAAUCACAUCGUGAGAAAACAAAGCCCUUUUCAGCUCUGCACCGGUCCUUCUCGUGACAGCAAGGAGAACGUGUCGGGCUGGCUGGAGGAUGUCUUUAACACUCACCCCUCUCACCCUCGCCCACCUCCACAUAGAACCAAGAACACGCAGGUCCUAGACUCAGACUCUGGUGGAUGAAUGUGUGUAGCAAAAGUGACCGCAUUGCUUUAUUUUAGAAUUAUCUCCAAUUUAUACCAGGUGAUACUGGUUUUCCACUUGUAAUAGCAAUGUUAUUUUUCUGAAGUUUGUUUUUAAUUUUAAUUCACUUUCAGACAUACAGUAAAAUUGCAAGCAUAAUAGAGUUCCUGUACCUUUCACCCAGGUUCACUUAGUGUUAAUAUCCUUCCCUCUCUCUCUGCCUCUUCCCCUACCUUCCCCACCAAACUACCUACCUACCUACACACACACACACAC
ensembl:lncRNA